UGGGGAAUUUUGGACAAUGGGCGCAAGCCUGAUCCAGCCAUGCCGCGUGAGUGAAGAAGGCCUUCGGGUUGUAAAGCUCUUUCGGCAGGAACGAAAUGGUUCGUGCUAACACCACGGACUGAUGACGGUACCUGAAGAAGAAGCACCGGCUAACUACGUGCCAGCAGCCGCGGUAAUACGUAGGGUGCAGGCGUUAAUCGGAAUUACUGGGCGUAAAGCGUGCGCAGGCGGUUUCUUAAGUCAGAUGUGAAAGCCCCGGGCUUAACCUGGGAACUGCGUUUGAAACUGGGAGACUUGAGUGUGGCAGAGGGGGGUGGAAUUCCACGUGUAGCAGUGAAAUGCGUAGAUAUGUGGAGGAACACCGAUGGCGAAGGCAGCCCCCUGGGUUAACACUGACGCUCAGGCACGAAAGCGCGGGGAGCAAAC
rnacentral:rRNA from 1 species